rnacentral:rRNA from 1 species
AUUGAACGCUGGCGGCAUGCUUUACACAUGCAAGUCGAACGGCAGCGCGGGCUUCGGCCUGGCGGCGAGUGGCGAACGGGUGAGUAAUGCAUCGGAACGUGCCCAGUAGUGGGGGAUAGCCCGGCGAAAGCCGGAUUAAUACCGCAUACGACCUGAGGGUGAAAGCGGGGGACCGAAAGGCCUCGCGCUAUUGGAGCGGCCGAUGUCGGAUUAGCUAGUUGGUGGGGUAAAGGCUUACCAAGGCGACGAUCCGUUGCUGGUCUGAGAGGACGACCAGCCACACUGGGACUGAGACACGGCCCAGACUCCUACGGGAGGCAGCAGUGGGGAAUUUUGGACAAUGGGGGCAACCCUGAUCCAGCCAUGCCGCGUGCGGGAAGAAGGCCUUCGGGUUGUAAACCGCUUUUGUUCGGGAAGAAAUCCUCUGGGCUAAUACCCCGGGGGGAUGACGGUACCGGAAGAAUAAGCACCGGCUAACUACGUG